GAAACAUGGGCUCGAGUGAAGAACACAUAAAGGAGCGAGACGAUACGGGCCAAGGAAGAAGAUUGUGCUCUGUGAAUUCUGAGUGGAACGUGCACAGGGCAUGGCGAGAUGUAAGUCCAGAAAGCCUGGAGGCAGAUCUGUCCAGUGUGCCACCGCCCACUCCGGAGAACUCCCCCUUUCCUUGCUGUUGUCUCUCAGAGACUGAGGGUGACUCAGGCCCCCACUGCCUGCCUUCAUCACAGAUGCAAGUAGAGCUACGUGGUUUAUCUCACAGAAGAGAGACUGACUAGAAGACUUCUCCUGAGAUGUCUUCUGUCUGUAGAGGUUGCUAAGCUCCAGAGAAGCCUCAGAUGCCCACAGUCCACUUUCUCUGCGUGGGGAGAACCUUCCUCAGGAGGUAGCCAACACAGAGGUGACCGAGGCUGGGGUGGAGGGACACAGACUUCCAAACUGCCAGGUCUCCUGAUGGAAUGGGCACUGCACAGUCCAUUAACAGAUCCCUGAAUUCUUGGGCCACAUUAGCAAAAUAAUAUCCAGAGAUAAAAUCAAACUAUAAAUGUGA